UCCAAACUCCUACGGGAGGCAGCAGUGAGGAAUAUUGGUCAAUGGGCGAGAGCCUGAACCAGCCAAGUAGCGUGCAGGAUGACGGCCCUAUGGGUUGUAAACUGCUUUUAUAAGGGAAUAAAGUGAGCCUCGUGAGGCUUUUGCAUGUACCUUAUGAAUAAGGACCGGCUAAUUCCGUGC
rnacentral:rRNA from 1 species